GUCGAACGGUAACAUUUCUAGCUUGCUAGAAGAUGACGAGUGGCGGACGGGUGAGUAAUGCUUGGGAACUUGCCUUUGCGAGGGGGAUAACAGUUGGAAACGACUGCUAAUACCGCAUAAUGUCUACGGACCAAACGGGGCUUCGGCUCCGGCGCAAAGAGAGGCCCAAGUGAGAUUAGCUAGUUGGUAAGGUAACGGCUUACCAAGGCGACGAUCUCUAGCUGUUCUGAGAGGAAGAUCAGCCACACUGGGACUGAGACACGGCCCAGACUCCUACGGGAGGCAGCAGUGGGGAAUAUUGCACAAUGGGGGAAACCCUGAUGCAGCCAUGCCGCGUGUGUGAAGAAGGCCUUCGGGUUGUAAAGCACUUUCAGUUGUGAGGAAAAGUUAGUAGUUAAUACCUGCUAGCCGUGACGUUAACAACAGAAGAAGCACCGGCUAACUCCGUGCCAGCAGCCGCGGUAAUACGGAGGGUGCGAGCGUUAAUCGGAAUUACUGGGCGUAAAGCGCACGCAGGCGGUUUGUUAAGCUAGAUGUGAAAGCCCCGGGCUCAACCUGGGAUGGUCAUUUAGAACUGGCAGACUAGAGUCUUGGAGAGGGGAGUGGAAUUCCAGGUGUAGCGGUGAAAUGCGUAGAUAUCUGGAGGAACAUCAGUGGCGAAGGCGACUCCCUGGCCAAAGACUGACGCUCAUGUGCGAAAGUGUGGGUAGCGAACAGGAUUAGAUACCCUGGUAGUCCACACCGUAAACGCUGUCUACUAGCUGUGUGU
rnacentral:rRNA from 1 species